rnacentral:misc_RNA from 1 species
GGAUCAGCCGCUGAUUGUUCUCAUAAGCACCUGCCACACUGAAUAAUUCCUCAAAUAUAAUGGACAAACUUCACAUUGUCAUACAGUGAGAUACCACCAAUUUAAUUGGCCAAUUCUGACACCAUGAAACAGAAAAAUCUUCUCCAUCAAGUCUUGUAAUAUUAGAUAUUUCAAUAAAAUAUUAUCAACUAGAACAAGCUUUAAUUUGCAUAUACAAAACUAUUACUCUGAGUAAUAGUUAAAUUUUAAUGACAUAAUAACAAUUUUUAGUUUUAACAUAAU